GACAUUUGGUAGAGGCUGUGAGGCCACCUGGUCCCAGCAGACCCCAGAGAACAGCCACAGUCACUGGUACAGGAACAAGGUCAUUAAGGGUGAAACCUGGUGCCAGAUGUGU
rnacentral:rRNA from 1 species